UCCCCAGAUCCGAGCUCGAGGAUCCCGGAGAAGGAAGGGAGACCGGGGCGCAGUGAUACCGGCGAUGCCGCAGUGCCGCUUUACAGGCUGAGCGCUUCCUCCUCGGCGCAAAUAGUGCUGCCUCUGGACACAACGUCGGAGGACGCCGACAAACGCGCGGCGCGGUCAGAGUUUUCAGAUGAGUGGCUCGCGGACACGAGGCGGCAGAGCUUCGGAGAAAUCCGUAUUCGCUGGCUGUACCUGUGAUGACAAAUAGGUGGAAGUAAUUGUGGAUCAAACAAUAAAAGGCACCUUGCAGGAGCUGGAGUUGAAGAUGACAUCAUGCACCUGCUUCAACAAACCCCAAAUCGUCUGGACAAAGCAGGCAGCACUAAACUCCAGAGAACGCAGGAGGAGGCCUCAACAAUCGCCUGGAUCAAUCACUACCAAAACAGAACAAAUGUAUUGGAGUGUGAGGAGUCACGUGUCUAACCAGGCGGAGCACCACAAGGGAUAAUACUCCCCCCCCAUUUCAUUCUUCCUCCGCACACGUCGUGGAAAGGGUCAUAUCUCGAAUGUGAAUGAGACAACUGCCGCUAUUAUGGAUCACAGGAGAAUCAGGAAUAUGUUGAAGAAUGUUUUCAUCCUGACGGAAGAAGCGGAGGCAACGGGGGGAGGAAUCAAUACCUUUGUGUCGCCUGCACGACAGACCAGACUGGAGAUGAAACAGCUAAAUUGACGGGACAGAGCUGUCACUUUUUUUUCUGUCUCACCUAUUUGUGGCAGCGUAUAGGUCUUUCAGCAUUUUCAGCAAUGUGUUGCAGACUUUUGUUCCAGAAAGAAUGCUUCAAACCCGAAAGUUCUCGCAAUUUCUUGAACUCUGGAAAUCACAUACAGAUUUCUUGUAAUUCAGUCCAGGUCCCUAUUUCAAGGCUAUGUCUAGCCCAGUUUCUCUCCUUUAAUGCAUUCUUGUCCUUGAAAAAAAAAAAAAAAGAAGAAAAAUCUGAAUCUGUCAAAACCGAUUUGAAAUGGGCAACGUGUGCUCGGAAAAGACUGAUGGAUGCAUCUUUCUGACGUUGCCAGCAUAUGGCUGGGGAAUUUCUCUGUAGGAUUAAUACUGCAGUUGAGUUGUCAGCUGGUGAUUUGUGCGAUGGAAGCGCCCCUAAGCUUCUUGCUGCGGGGACACCUGGGGCCAGCUAACUUCAUCACCUCGCGUAACAAACGCCUGCAGAAGUCUGAUCUCGGGGAAAUGCGGCAGUAAAUAAUGUAUCACAAUAAGCACCAAAUACUUUCACAGCCUCCUUUCAACAUUGAAAGAAAGAAUUUUCCUCAGAGGGAAGGUUUUCUCUGCUGACUGGGAAUAUUUAACCGAUAGGUAAUACAGUUGUUGGAAAGUAGAGGGUCUUUGACUGAUUUAUAGUGUGUGAGUUGUGUUGUAUUGAUGUUGCAGUUGAUGUUGUAUUGAUGUUGCCCUUGAGAGAAUGAGAGAGACAAACAUGAUUAUGUAAGAGAGCGGUUAUUUAAAAUCCAUAGGAUGCAUCGUUUGCUCGGAACAAAUCCAUAUUCCCACUUUACCCUGGUUUCUUUAAAGAGGUUACUUUGCUUAGGGUUUUUUUUUACUAUCAAUGAUAAGCAGCAACUGUUUACUUAAUAUUAUUGUGCUAAAUGUGUUUUUUCUAUA